rnacentral:rRNA from 1 species
UACAGAGGUCCCAAGCGUUGUUCGGAUUCAUUGGGCGUAAAGGGUGCGUAGGUGGCGCCGUAAGUCGGGUGUGAAAUUUCGGAGCUUAACUCUGAAACUGCAUUCGAUACUGGCGUGCUUGAGGACUGGAGAGGAGACUGGAAUUCAUGGUGUAGCAGUGAAAUGCGUAGAGAUCAUGAGGAAGACCAGUGGCGAAGGCGGGUCUCUGGACAGUUCCUGACACUGAGACACGAAGGCCAGGGGAGCAAACGGG